rnacentral:misc_RNA from 1 species
GAUGAAGAACGUAGUAAAAUGCGAUAAUUAAUGUGAAUUGCAGAAUUCCGUGAAUCAUCGAGUCUUUGAACGCACAUUGCGCCUCAUGGCAUUCCGUGAGGCAUGCCCAUCUCAGCGUUAGAAAAUAUUCUCAAAUUUUAGUUUUGUGCUAAAAUUUGGAUCAUGUCAAGGAAGCUAUUACUAUUAUUGUGAUCGCUCUUUGGAAAUUGAUAGGUCUUUGAGUUGCUACUCAUAGAACGUGAUGAAUCUUUCUUCGUUCUAUUGUAAUUCACUCUGGUAGUCCUAAAACUUGUAUGCCUGUGGCAUAUCUUGUAAUUUGACCUGAGAUUGGGUAGGGAUACCCGCUGAACUUAAGCAUAUCAAUAAGCGGAGGA